GCAUGGUUACGAGAUUUAAGGAUGAAACCUUCCUGAUCGACUCGUGAGGUAAAAG
rnacentral:ncRNA from 2 species